UUGGUGGUGGUAAAAAGAGGUUGUCGAUUGGUGGAGGAGAAAAAAGGAAAAUGGCGGUGGUGUGGUGUUAAACAGUUAGGGUCUUUUUCCUUAUGGAGAAGAUGAAGAAGGAAAAGAGUUUUGGGAUUUGGGUGUUUUAUUUUGUUCAUUUUCUUUGUUCUUUUUUUUUGUGGCCAGUUUGGGCCCUAUUGUCCCUUUCUUUUGUUUUUUUUUUCCUUUCUUUUGGCCAAUUUGGUUGUUCGGCCCAAUUUCCUUCCCUUUUUCUCUUUUUUUUUCUUUUGGGUUUCGUUAGGCUUGUUAGGGGGUUUUGGGUUUGUUUUGGGUUUUGGGUAUUGUGUGAGUUUUUUUUUUCAUUUGGGUUGGUAUUUGGGUAUGGGGUUGGUAGGUUAAAUGGAUUUGGGUUUUGGGAUUAUUAUUUGGGUUAAGGGUGUUGGGUUUUUUUUAUAGUUAAAUAAUUGUUAGUAUUUAGCACGUCGUGCCCAC
rnacentral:lncRNA from 1 species